CCUACGGGUGGCAGCAGUGGGGAAUAUUGCACAAUGGGGGGAACCCUGAUGCAGCAACGCCGCGUGGGUGAAGAAGUACUCCGGUAUGUAAAGCCCUGUCAGCAGGGAAGAAAAUGACGGUACCUGACCAAGAAGCCCCGGCUAACUACGUGCCAGCAGCCGCGGUAAUACGUAGGGGGCAAGCGUUAUCCGGCUUUACUGGGUGUAAAGGGAGCGUAGACGGCAAGGCAAGUCUGGAGUGAAAGCCCGUGGCCCAACCACGGGACUGCUUUGGAAACUGUGUUGCUGGAGUGCAGGAGGGGUAAGCGGAAUUCCUGGUGUAGCGGUGAAAUGCGUAGAUAUUAGGAGGAACACCGGUGGCGAAGGCGGCUUACUGAGCCAUAACUGACACUGAAGCACGAAAGCGUGGGGAUCAAACAGGAUUAGAUACCCCUGUAGUC
rnacentral:rRNA from 1 species